rnacentral:rRNA from 1 species
UACGAAGGGUGCAAACGUUGCUCGGAAUUAUUGGGCGUAAAGCGCACGUAGGCGGCUAUCUAAGUCGGAUGUGAAAUCCCUCGGCUUAACCAAGGAAGUGCACCCGAAACUGGAUAGCUUGAGUACAGAAGAGGAUCGCGGAAUUCCCGGUGUAGAGGUGAAAUUCGUAGAUAUCGGGAGGAACACCAGUGGCGAAGGCGGCGACCUGGGCCAAUAUUGACGCUGAGGUGCGAAAGCGUGGGGAGCAAACAGG